rnacentral:rRNA from 1 species
GAUGAACGCUGGCGGCGUGCCUAAUACAUGCAAGUCGAGCGAACAGACGAGGAGCUUGCUCCUCUGACGUUAGCGGCGGACGGGUGAGUAACACGUGGAUAACCUACCUAUAAGACUGGGAUAACUUCGGGAAACCGGAGCUAUACCGGAUAAUAUAUUGAACCGCAUGGUUCAAUAGUGAAAGACGGUUUUGCUGUCACUUAUAGAUGGAUCCGCGCCGCAUUAGCUAGUUGGUAAGGUAACGGCUUACCAAGGCGACGAUGCGUAGCCGACCUGAGAGGGUGAUCGGCCACACUGGAACUGAGACACGGUCCAGACCCCUACGGGAGGCAGCAGUAGGGAAUCUUCCGCAAUGGGCGAAAGCCUGACGGAGCAACGCCGCGUGAGUGAUGAAGGUCUUCGGAUCGUAAAACUCUGUUAUUAGGGAAGAACAAAUGUGUAAGUAACUAUGCACGUCUUGACGGUACCUAAUCAGAAAGCCACGGCUAACUACGUG